AAGGGAGAUGACUGAGGCUGAAACGGAUAUAUGGGAGAAAUACAGGUCACCCUGCUACAUAAUAUAUAUAUAUAUAUUAUAUAUACGAUAAAAUCUUAAUCUUAGUAGUUAGUGUUGACAUUAUUUUGGUAACAAUGUAUACUUUUGAUGUACACUUCUAAUUGACAUUUUUUAUGUGAUGUCUUUUGUGAAUAGAUUUGCCAGCUACAACCAUCUGAUAGCUUUUUGGUCUUUGAUUGAGCCUUGUCUCUACAAGAUGGUCCGUGUUUCCAGAGCCAAAUCAGCUGCCCAGAAAAAAGAAGUGGUCGCACCUGCACGUGCAUCAACAAGACAGCUGCUCCAGCCCAUAGAUUAACUCUUUCUUUUUUCAUCCCUUGGCUGAUGAAUCACAAAGCUUGAUCUAAGAGAAAAAGGUAAAUCAUUAGAAAUAUAGCCUCAGCAUCAUAGGUGUAAAAAACAACUUGUUUCUUAUGAAGGUAAGUACUUCAACUGUGCUAGAAAAAGCCUACCACCCUGAAUGCUUACUGUUAUAUUCUCUCCCUCUUAAAAUAAAGAUGUGUUUUUUUUUAAAGCGGACUCCAAGAAUCACAAUUAUUCCAAUGUACCUGUACUUCUGCUGUACAAACGACAAUAAAUAUCUUGUUUAUUGAAAA